CUCAGGGCGUGGUCCAUUAGUUAAAAAGUCCAUGGUUGAAGACUUGAAUUUAUUUUUAGUUUUUUUAAGUUUAAUAUAAUUAACGGGAGGGAUCACAAUUUUUUUCUUAUCGCGGAAGUCAACUGUUAAUUCAAAUAGGGGAAAUCACAGAUAUAUUACCAGUAAGUAUUGUAAUAUUUUAUGUAGCGAUAUAUAAAUGCGUACCCUUUUUGAUAGAAUACAUUUCUUCAUAUUUUUUGUCACCUUUUUUUCAAAGCUAGACAUUUUUUGCGUUUUAUUAGGAUCAACGAUACACGUAUCCCGAAUAGUUUUCGUUACACCCUCGUCCUAAAAUUCCACUUGACCCGAACCCCACAUCUUUCUCGUGUUUCUCGUUGUCAUUCUAAAUCGCAUCUGACCACCUAUUUUCGGCUUUUCUUUCCUGCUCUUAUUUCUAUGUUUAUAUUAAUUACAAUUCUUACUACUUCUGAUUCAUCUCUCCCCAUGACAUGCCCUAACCAUUUCAAUCUAUUUUAUCUUAUUUUAUUUACUAUUGAAGCCACAUUGAAGUUACCUCAUUAAAUAAGAACUCAUUCCUUAUACUAUGUUCUUUCGUCACUCCACUCAUCCACCUAUGCAUUUUCAUUUCUGUUAACUCUUUUUUUGUUAUAUUUUUUUUCUAUUGCUUAAUACUGUGAACCAUACUUCAAAGCCAGUCUCACACUCAUUACAUUAUUGUAGAACUUACUUUUAAGUUUUAUUGGAAUCCUUUUGACAUGUACAACACUUGAUUCUUCUCUCCACUUUAUCUAACCACAUUUAAUAUUAUACUUCACACUGUUGUUAAAGUUACCAGAUCUUAUUUACAAAAGAUUUUAUGAAGGUACUUAAAAUUCUCACCCUUGCCUAUUAUGUCACCACUUAUUUUCACUGUUUGUCUUUUCUUGUUCCUCUAAACUCAUACUCUAUAUACACUUUUUUACUUAUGCUUAUUCUUAGUUCCUUUUCUUCAAAUGCUACUCUCCACAUGACUCAUCAGUUGUAUUCCUCUAUAAUACCUACAUUCUUGUUUAUUAAUUAUUAUUAUUGUUUGUUUCUCUUGCAUUUAAAAAUAGGCGUUUUCUUUUCUACUAUCAUCACAUAGAAAAAUCUUUUAGCCAGCUUAUGCUUAGCUCCCCUCGCAUUUUCUAUAUUUGUAUGAGUACACCAUCUGGACCUACCACUUUUUCUUCCCUAACUCUAAAUUAUUUAUUUAAUGAUUAAUUAUACACAAAUAGAAACAACUGACAUAAAGAUGAAAACUGAUAAUUAAACAAAAAUAGAAAUGACAAAAAAAUUAAAAUAUAGCCGCUUACUAUCACUUAUAUUAGAGAAAUUCAUAACAAAACAUUUAAGAAUCAUUUUAAAUAGAUUAAUUUUAAAAAUAAAUAGUCACAUUCUGAUUUACAAUUUUCAAUAUGCUCUUUUAAUUUUGUCAACUAGGAAUAUGUAAACAAGGAUCUUAUCUUGAGUGAAUAAAGGCAUGCAGAUUAAAUUUAUAUUUACCAGUAUACAAGGCAUACUUUGAUCAUUUAUUGUCAAAAGAUCUUGAGCUAAGUGAGCUUCUAAACAAAGAUACUGUUUACAGGUAAUAUUUUAAAUUGAAAAAGAUGGUAUUAUGUGAACUUAAUUAAUUGUAUUGUUUUAGUUCAGAGAAAGGAUUGAUUUAUAAUAAAUCAUGGAGAUUUCAGAAAAGAAAAAACCUGAUGUUCCAGAAAAGGAAAAUGAUGAGUGUCAAACUGGAAGUCAGUCUUCGGUGUCUGAGAACCGUGAUAGCCUUACUUCUAGGUAAAAUGUAAUGUUUUAAAAAAACAUGAUCCAUUAUAUUUAAUUAUAUAUAUUUUUAAAUUAAAACUAAUUGAGCCUUACAUAAAUUAGUUUUAUGUUUAUUUUAGAAAACAUGAUUUGGACGAUGUAGAUGAUACACCAGUUCAAAUAAAAAAGGGAAAACGGAUAAAUACAGAUUGUAUAUGACAUUUGUCUCCUAAUCAUUUUAGUACUCGAAAAAAAGCUAAAAAAAUUUUAAAUAUGAUAAAAGAUAAAUAUAAACAAAAACAAAUUCAACUUCGCAACUUAAAAGAAGAGUUUCAAAUGUUGACUUUUCAACUGAUGAUAUAUGAAAACAAAUAUGGUAAACUUUCAAAAAUUAAUACUAUGAAAAAUUUAAGAAAUUAGGACAGUCCCUAUAUAAUUUGAGAAUCUAAUCAGUGGCGUACACAGGGACGGUAGGUUGGGG